rnacentral:rRNA from 1 species
CUACGGGCUGCUCCAGUCGAGAAUAGUCUACAAUGGACGAAAGUCUGAUAGUGCGACGCCGCGUGGAUGAAGAAGCAUUUCGGUGUGUAAAGUCCUUUUCUGUGUGAGCAAUGUUUUCCAGGUUAAUAGCUUGGAGAAAGCGAUAUUAACACAGGAAUAAGCUCCGGCUAACUCCGUGCCAGCAGCCGCGGGAACACGGGGGGAGCAAGCGUUGUCCGGAAUUACUAGGCGUAAAGGGUAAGUAGGCGGAAUUGUAAGUCAGAUGUUAAAGGCACCGGCUCAACCGGUGUAUGGCAUUUGAUACUGUAAUUCUAGAGUAAGGUGGGGGAAGACGGAAUUCCUGGUGUAGCGGUGGAAUGCGCAGAUAUCAGGAGGAACACCAGAGGCGCAGGCGGUCUUCUAUACCAUUACUGACGCUCAAUUACGAAGGUGUGGGUAUCAAACAGGAUUAGAUACCCGUGUAGUC